rnacentral:rRNA from 1 species
GACGAACGCUGGCGGCGUGCUUAACACAUGCAAGUCGAGCGAUGAAGCUUCUUCGGAAGUGGAUUAGCGGCGGACGGGUGAGUAACACGUGGGUAACCUGCCUCAUAGAGGGGAAUAGCCUUCCGAAAGGAAGAUUAAUACCGCAUAAGAUUGUAAUAUCGCAUGAUAUAGCAAUUAAAGGAGAAAUCCGCUAUGAGAUGGACCCGCGUCGCAUUAGCUAGUUGGUGAGGUAACGGCUCACCAAGGCGACGAUGCGUAGCCGACCUGAGAGGGUGAUCGGCCACAUUGGGACUGAGACACGGCCCAGGCUCCUACGGGAGGCAGCAGUGAGGAAUAUUGCACAAUGGGGGAAACCCUGAUGCAGCAACGCCGCGUGAGUGAUGACGGUCUUCGGAUUGUAAAGCUCUGUCUUUAGGGGCGAUAAUGACGGUACCUAAGGAGGAAGCCACGGCUAACUACGUGCCAGCCGCCGCCGUAA